rnacentral:lncRNA from 1 species
GUCCACGGUUCAAAGGUUUUAGCUCAUGGUUUGCUGGCUCCAAGACAGAAAUACCAUGGCUGAAGGUAGGAUGGAGGAAAGCUGCUUAAUUCUUGGUGGCCAGGGAACAAAGUAAGUUGGGAAGACCACAACAGGAAGCAUUUUCUCUUUCUGCCCAGGGCCCAUUUCAUAUUUCCUGAGAUCUUGUUCAAGGGACUGGAGGUGGACCUGUGCCUUGUGUACUCCUCAACUAAGAUGGGACACUUUACGGCAUGUAGAGAGCCUCACUCAGUGCAGCAAGAAACUGAGAGGAUCAACCCAGUCCUUCCAAGUUAA